CGACCUGGGACUCCGGACUCCGGCUGGCCCCGGCUCGGGGCUGCUACCCGGAAGGAAGGAGGUCGCGCCUGGGUCCCAACCCCGGGCACCCUCAGCCCCGCCCCGCUGGCGCGUUUUCAUUUAAACGUGCAACCCAGAUGUCCUGGCCUCGAUUCCAGCUUUUGGCUCCUGAAGCCACAACACACACGCACACGAGUUCAGGGACCAGGGUUGCAUGAAAUCAGUGCUCAUGUGUUGGCUUCCUUUUUACAUACAUGGUUUAACCAGGAAUCCUGAGAUCAUCCCUCUGCCCAGGUACCAUGGGUAUGGUCAGCUGACGGGGGUGUCCUCCCCUAGUUUGGUACCCAACUCUUCAGGUUGUGUGUGUGCACACACACACUCAGGGGAAGGGUCAUGAGAAGGACCUGAGUGAUAUCACUGAGAAGGCAAAGGUUUGCAAGGACUGUAUUAUCUUUGCUCUGUCGACUUGGACUUAACCCUAUAAAAAGAGGAAAGAGAACAGAAUUAAUGAAAGCAUCAAGUUCGGGGUCAUGUGUAGAAGGAGUCACCACCACAGUUUAAGGAGAAUGAAUCGGUGACUUUAAAGGCUUCCAGGCAUAAUUGGAUGGAGUGGGACAGUCAGUGUGUCCGCUGUAACUCUGAAGUGGACGAUGAUUGUCUUAGCUGAAAACGAAACGAACCCUUUGGGACGCUGUUGAGAAAAACGCCAAAGAAGAAAAAGUGUGCCCACUCUGGCCACCGAAGACACGAGAGCAAUGCCGUCUGAAAUACAGAUGCCAUUUUCAUUCUUCCCUUCUUGCCUUCAGAACCCCAAUUUACAGAAGAAAAAAGAAAAAAAAAACCUUAGACAAAAGUCGAGCAGGGCCAAUACUAGUUACUUUUGGCACAAAGGUCUUGCGGUGUUUUUUAAUGGAGGGGGUGGGAGUGGGGUGAGGUGUGGGAGGUAUUUGAGUGAGGAGAGAGAUCAAUAAUAUCUCUGAUACUAACGUCUAAGGAUAAUCGUUUGAGAAUUGAGAUGCUUUUGACCAAGUACUUCCAACCUCUAGACGGAAAAGACGCUGUGUA